UACGUAGGGGGCAAGCGUUGUCCGGAAUCAUUGGGCGUAAAGCGCGUGUAGGCGGCCUGGUAAGUCCGUUCUGAAAGCCCGGGGCUCAACCCCGGGAGGCGGAUGGAUACUGUCAGGCUCGAGUCCGGAAGAGGCAAAGUGGAAUUCCCGGUGUAGCGGUGAAAUGGCGCAGAUAUCGGGAGGAACACCAAUGGCGAAGGCAGCUUGCUGGGACGGUACUGACGCUGA
rnacentral:rRNA from 1 species